AGAGUUUGAUCAUGGCUCAGAUUGAACGCUGGCGGCAUGCCUUACACAUGCAAGUCGAACGGCAGCACGGGGAGGGGCAACUCUCCCUGGUGGCGAGUGGCGAACGGGUGAGUAAUGCAUCGGAACGUGUCCUCUUGUGGGGGAUAACCAGUCGAAAGAUUGGCUAAUACCGCAUGAGCCCGAGAGGGGAAAGCGGGGGAUUCGAAAGAACCUCGCGCGAGUGGAGCGGCCGAUGGCCGAUUAGCUAGUUGGUGGGGUAAUGGCCCACCAAGGCGACGAUCGGUAGCUGGUCUGAGAGGAUGAUCAGCCACACUGGGACUGAGACACGGCCCAGACUCCUACGGGAGGCAGCAGUGGGGAAUUUUGGACAAUGGGCGCAGGCCUGAUCCAGCCAUGCCGCGUGUGUGAAGAAGGCCUUCGGGUUGUAAAGCACUUUCGGGCGGAACGAAAUCGCACGGGCGAAUACCCCGUGUGGAUGACGGUACCGCAAGAAGAAGCACCGGCUAACUACGUGCCAGCAGCCGCGGUAAUACGUAGGGUGCGAGCGUUAAUCGGAAUUACUGGGCGUAAAGCGUGCGCAGGCGGUCGCGCAAGUCAGGUGUGAAAGCCCCGGGCUUAACUUGGGAAUGGCACUUGAAACUACGUGAUUGGAGUGUGGCAGAGGGAGGUGGAAUUCCACGUGUAGCGGUGAAAUGCGUAGAGAUGUGGAGGAACACCGAUGGCGAAGGCAGCCUCCUGGGCCAACACUGACGCUCAUGCACGAAAGCGUGGGGAGCAAACAGGAUUAGAUACCCUAGUAGUCC
rnacentral:rRNA from 1 species